GAUAGAGGCGCGGUUAUCAUCAGUAGCUCCGUUCAGCCGCCGGGAAGCGGGGGAGCGAAAGGGAUCGCCGCCGAAGGGUAUCCGCAUCCCGUGCGGAUAUGCCUGGGCCGUCGGAGAAGAUCCGCCGGACUGUCGCAAGGGCUUUUGCCCGCGCGGAGAGCUGUCUG
rnacentral:ncRNA from 1 species